ACUGCUCAGUAACACGUGGAUAACCUGCCCUUGGGUCCGGCAUAACCCCGGGAAACUGGGGAUAAUUCCGGAUAACGCAUAUGUGCUGGAAUGCUUUAUGCGUCAAAUGGAUUCGUCUGCCCAAGGAUGGGUCUGCGGCCUAUCAGGUAGUAGUGGGUGUAAUGUACCUACUAGCCGACAACGGGUACGGGUUGUGAGAGCAAGAGCCCGGAGAUGGAUUCUGAGACAUGAAUCCAGGCCCUACGGGGCGCAGCAGGCGCGAAAACUUUACAAUGCGGGAAACCGUGAUAAGGGGACACCGAGUGUCAGCAUCAUAUGCUGGCUGUCCAGGUGUGUAAAAUACACCUGUUAGCAAGGGCCGGGCAAGACCGGUGCCAGCCGCCGCGGUAACACCGGCGGCCCGAGUGGUGAUCGUGAUUAUUGGGUCUAAAGGGUCCGUAGCCGGUUUGGUCAGUCCUCCGGGAAAUCUGAUAGCUCAACUAUUAGGCUAUCGGGGGAUACUACCAGACUUGGAACCGGGAGAGGUAAGAGGUACUACAGGGGUAGGAGUGAAAUCUUGUAAUCCCUGUGGGACCACCUGUGGCGAAGGCGUCUUACCAGAACGGGUUCGACGGUGAGGGACGAAAGCUGGGGGCACGAACCGGAUUAGAUACCCGGGUAGUCCCAGCCGUAAACGAUGCUCGCUAGGUGUCAGGCAUGGCGCGACCGUGUCUGGUGCCGCAGGGAAGCCGUGAAGCGAGCCACCUGGGAAGUACGGCCGCAAGGCUGAAACUUAAAGGAAUUGGCGGGGGAGCAC
rnacentral:rRNA from 2 species